rnacentral:tRNA from 1 species
GGAGAGGUGGGUGAGCGGCUUAAACCAGCAGUUUGCUAAACUGCGGGGCCCUGAAAGGCCCCUCGCGGGUUCGAAUCCCGCCCUCUCCGCCA